rnacentral:rRNA from 1 species
AAUAGAUACCCAGGUAGUCCACGCCGUAAAACGAUGAGUGCUAAGUGUUAGAGGGUUUCCGCCCUUUAGUGCUGCAGCUAAACGCAUUAAGCACUCCGCCUGGGGAGUACGGUCGCAAGACUGAAACUCAAAGGAAUUGACGGGGGCCCGCACAAGCGGUGGAGCAUGUGGUUUAAUUCGAAGCAACGCGAAGAACCUUACCAGGUCUUGACAUCCUCUGACAACUCUAGAGAUAGAGCGUUCCCCUUCGGGGGACAGAGUGACAGGUGGUGCAUGGUUGUCGUCAGCUCGUGUCGUGAGAUGUUGGGUUAAGUCCCGCAACGAGCGCAACCCUUGAUCUUAGUUGCCAGCAUUUAGUUGGGCACUCUAAGGUGACUGCCGGUGACAAACCGGAGGAAGGUGGGGAUGACGUCAAAUCAUCAUGCCCCUUAUGACCUGGGCUACACACGUGCUACAAUGGAUGGUACAAAGGGCUGCAAGACCGCGAGGUCAAGCCAAUCCCAUAAACCAUUCUCAGUUCGGAUUGU